rnacentral:rRNA from 1 species
GUUCCUACGGGGCGCAGCAGUGAGGAAUAUUGGUCAAUGGGCUUACGCCUGAACCAGCAAAGUCGCGUGAGGGAAGACUGCCCUAUGGGUUGUAAACCUCUUUUGUCAGGGAGAAAUUGGCGCUACGUGUAGCGUUAUCGAGAGUACCUGAAGAAAAAGCAUCGGCUAACUCAGUGCCAGCAGACGCGGUAAUACGGAGGAUGCGAGCGUUAUCCGGAUUUAUUGGGUUUAAAGGGUGCGUAGGCGGAAUGCCAAGUCAGCGGUAAAAUCGCGGGGCUCAACCUCGCUCCGCCGUUGAAACGGGG